rnacentral:rRNA from 1 species
CCCUAGGUCAGAUAAGAAUACUUGUUGAGUUUAAGCAUAUGAAUAAGUAAAGGAAAAUAAACUUACCAAGAUUCUCCUAGUUAUAACGAGCGAACCAAGAAAGGCCUAGCUUGAGAAUCAAGAACCCUUUGAGUCCAAAUUGUAGUCUGGUGAAACGUCUUCAGUGGUGGACUAGGCCUAAGUCCCAUAGAAAAGGGUGUUAGAGAGGGUAAGAGUCUUGUUGUGCUUAGAUCCUAUCGCACCAUGAGACUCUGUCUACGAGUCAGGUUAUUUGGGACUGUAGCCCUAAUUGGGUGGUAAAUUUUAUCCAAGGCUGAAUACGAGUGAAAGACUAAUAGUGAAGAAGUACCAUGAGGGAAAGAUGAAAAAGACUUUUAAAAGAGAGUCAAAGAGUGCUUGAAAUUAUCAAAAGGGAAAUGGAUAGGGGAUGAUGAUGCACCCCAAUCAGAUGUGGAAUGGUGAGAUUCAGCCCAUUGAUUGGCUUAGGCAUUGACUGACAUGUGUCACAGUGGCUGCCUAACCCUGGGCUUUCGAUAUGCCCAUAGAGACAUUGUUGCUAUGAUCGUGGAAUGCAACACACAUCGUCUCAACAUGCCUUGGCACUCAUGUACUCCUGGCAUUAGCCUGUGAGCUCCCUAUCUAGCUUGUCUUGAAAUGUAGACCAAGGAGUGUGACAUGUGUGCAAGUUAACAUGCUAGAUAACCUAAAAGGUGCAAGAAAGCUGGUUGGCAGGAUCCCCCAUAGGUGCACCACCGACUGACUUGAUCUUUUGAGAAAGGUUCGAGUGUGAGCUUACCUGUUGAGGUGAACUAUGCUUGAGUGGGGCUAAGCCAGGGAAACUAUAGUGGAAGCCCACAUUGAUAGUAAUGUGUAAAUCAUUCAUCUAACUUGGGUAUAGGGGUGAAAGACUAAUUGAACCAUCUAGUAGCUAGUUCCAUCUAAAGUUUCCUUUAGGAUAAAUGGAGCCCUUAGCAAGUUCUAUUGGGUAAAGCCAUGGUUAAAGGCAUUGGGGCACAAUGCCCUCAACCUAUUCUCAAACUUUAAAUAAGUAUGAUGAUACAACUACUUCAUUGAGAUGCUCCAUGGAAUCGAGACCUCCAAGUGGGCCAUUUUUUGUAAGUAGAACUGGCAACAUAGGAUAAACUAAAAGUUGGGUUAUAUUGCCUAAUUGUGUGCUAAUCCAGAACCUCAAAGGUGUUUGUCGAUUAAGACAGUAAGACGGUGAUUAUGGAAGUCAAAAUCCUCUAAGGAGUGUGUAACAACCCACCUAUCAAAUCAACUAGCCUCGAAAAUAAAUGGUGUUUAAGCACGUGACCUAUACUAGAUCAUCGAGGUAAGGGCCAAGCCCCGAUAAGUAGAAGGGUAUGAUGGUUGCUACAAAACUCAGUGUGUAAGCUUGUGCAAAGAGACUGUCAGUGUAGAUCUUGGUGGUAGUAGCAAAUAUUCAAAUGAGAACUUUGAAGGCCAAAAAAGAGAAAGGUUCCAUGUGAACAGCACUUGCACAUAGGUUAGUCGAUCCUUAAAGAUGGGUCCAACAUGAGCUUUGAUGGGAAAUUGAGUUAAAAUUCCUAAAGUGGGACACAAUGGCUAACAGCAACAUUAAGGAUUCCAAAGACAUCGAUGAAGGCCUUAGGAAGAGUUAUCUUUUCUAUUUAAUAACUUGCCUACACUAGAAACAACUCAAUCAAAGGUAGGUUCCAUUGGCCAAAAAAGCAACGCAUGUCAUAUUAUGUCCUGUUUACCCUAACAGCCCUUGAAAAUAUGGAGGAGUGAAUGCUAUUCAUGCCCAGUUGUACUCAUAAUUGCAUGGGUUUCCAAAUUGAACAAGCUCUAGUCGAUGGAACAAUAUAGGUAAGGAAAGUCAGCAAAGUGGAUCUCUAACCUUGGGAAAAGGAUUGGCUCUGAAGGUUGGUUAUAGGGGAAUAUAGGUAAGGAAAGUCAGCAAAGUGGAUCUCUAACCUUGGGAAAAAGAUUGGCUCUGAAGGUUGGUUAUAGGGGUCCCAUUCUUGAACCUUUUGGCUACCAAUGCACUACUUGAGCUACCCCCGCGGUGAGAGCAAUUUGAUGUGUGUAGGCUAGGGGAUGGACUAGGAAUGGCUCCCUCGAGGGCCUUUCCCAUGUGAUGAAUAGUCAACUAAAAAUUGGUACAGACUAGGGGAUCCAACUGUUUAAUUAAUAUAAAGCAUUACAAUGGUCCCUAGGGAUGCUCACUUAAUGUGAUUUUUCCCAGUGCUCUAAAUGUCAAAGUGAAGAAAUUCAACCAAUCAUGGGUAAAUGAUGGGAGUAAUAUGAUUCUUUUAAGGUAGCCAAAUGCCUCUACAUCUAAUUAGUGGCACAUAUGAGUGGAUUAACAAGAUUCCCAUUGUCUCUAUUGACUAUCUAGCAAAACCACAACCAAGGGAACAGGCUUAGGAGAACCAGCAGGAAAGAAGCCUAAUUGAGCUUGACUCUAGUCUAACUUUGUGAAAUGACUUAAGAGGUGUAGGAUAAGUGGGAGCCCUCUGACGAAAUUGAAAUACCAUUUCUUUUAAUGUUAUUUUAUUUAUUUCAUGAAUCGAAGGUGGGGCACAACCCUUUCUUUUGGACAUAAGGCCAGCCUUGGUCAGUCAAUCCAGGCAGAAGACAUUGUCAAGUGGGGAGUUUGUUGGGGUAGCACAUCUAUUAAAAGAUAACAUAGGUGUCCUAUGAUAAUCUCAAUGAGAACAAGAAUCCCAUGUGGAAUAAAAGGGAAAAGGCCAUUUUAUUCUGAUUUCUAGUACAAAUAUAAACCUUGAAAGCGUGGCCUAUCGAUCUUUUAGACCUUUAAAAUUUAAAGCUAGAGGCAUUAGAAAAGUUACCAUAGGGACAAUUAGCUUGUGGCAAUGAAGUAUUCAUUAGAGACAUUGCUUGUUGAUCCUUCAAUGUCAGCUCUUCCCAUUAUUAUGAAGCAGAAUUCUCUAAGUGUUGGAUUGUUCACCCAUCAAUAUGAAAUGUGAGCUAGGUUUAGAUCAUUGUGAGAUAGGUUAGUUUUACCCUAUUGAUAGCAAUGUUACCAUAGUAAUUCAACCUAGAAUGAAAAGAACUAUUGAUUCACACAAUUGGUCAUCGUGCUUGGUUGAAAAGCUAGGGGCAAGAAGCUAUCAUGCGCUAGAUUAUGAUUGAAUGCCUCUAAGUCAAAAUCUAGGCUAGAAGUGAUGCAUGUGCCCAUCAUCCAAUUGCAGACCUACAACAUGGAUGCAUGGCCCCCAAGGGCAUGUGUCAUAGGUGCAGCCCCUGCUACAGACAAGCUAUGCAGGCCUC